UCUCACUGCUGUGCUCUGGGUACCUCCAUCGGGGAAGCACAUUUAGGCCAGGAUGCUCCUAAUCACCUUUGUCUUCAUGCUUUGCUGUGCCCUUCCCAUUCCUUUCCGGUUGUAAAUGUCACUCCCAGAAAAGGGAAAUAACCCCUUGGAUGGCUCUGCCCAGCCCUGAAGAGCUGCAGGAAAAGGAAUGCCACGCAAUGAUCAUAGGAACUGCAGGGUCCAUAGAUUUCGACUGCUGGAAGAACUUGCCCUAGGUAAGGAUCCAGUCUCCUAGCUGAUUAGAAGUAGCCUAGCUUAAAACAACAUCAAUUCCAGCCAGAGGCCUUGAAGCCCCAGCUCACCAGCCAGCAGGAGCAGCACGGUGCUUCUGAUGCCAGAGGGGAUGUGGUUAUCACAGUGAGCACUGCUCAACAUUCGCAUCAUCAAUCACCAUUGCUCACUGUUUUCACCAUAUGUACCACGUUCUUAUUUGUUCUUUAAAGGAAUCUGAAGCAGCGUGGUUGAGCUGUCUUAAAAAUGUAUUGAGGUUGAAACAAAAAGAAGAAACCUGAUGCCUUGUGGAUUCACAGGACUAUAAGAAAUCAACGUGUGAUGUCCCAUUUUCCAAAACAGAGCCCCUAUCGAUGGCCUGAAGUUUGAAACCAGCCACUGAUAUAACAUGCAGCACAGAUGUGACAAACAGGAGAAAACCAGCUAUCUAUCACAGCAGUUCCUGAAGCCCUGCAAUAAAACAAAAUGCCAGAUGGAAUUAGAAACCACCGCCGGCGCUCAGAGCCCACUGUGAAGCUGCUCCUUGGAUGCCAACCCUGGGGCUCGUGCUGACCUCCAGCCACGGGCCACCCCGCGCUGUGGGUCUGGUGGCAGCUCCAUCCGAAGGGCAGCAUUCACCUCCUCGGGGCAGGAGCUCUGCGAAAGCCCAGCAAUGGGAUAACCACGCUUUGAAGAACCGUGGGCUGAAGGCCAGCCCAGCCACCUGCUGUGGGUGGGACACUCCUCCCUGCUGCUCUCUCAUCUGCAUCCCACGACGUGCGCCGGGAUGAGCACCUGGCCCGGCAGCCUGCGCUUUGCAGAGAGCUGCUCACCUCUGCGUGCAAACCCUCAUCUGUUGCUGGGAGGAAGCCUGUGUUUGAGGAGGGGCUGCUGCAGCUUCUCAGAAGUCUGAGCACUGGGAGCUGUUUUCCUCUUCUUCCUUUUCCGUUAUUCAUCUGAAAGUGUUCACUUUGCUAAAAUGUGAAUCCAUCAGGACCAUAUGCUCCCAGCUAUGUUGCAGGCACCCAGGACUAAUUCAGAUCUUGUGCCUGUCUUCGGGCCAUCUGCUAACAGGAUCACACGAGACCAUGUGUCAUCACGGGCUGAAAUUUGCAUAGAUGCUUUGAGGAGCUGUGCCCAGCCCCAACCACAUGAGCCACGAUGAAUGCCCUCGAGUUGCCAUGAACCACCCCGUGCUGUAGGGAGGUAGCACGAGGACCCAGUGAUGCCCAUGGCCAAUGCCAUCCCCACCCGUCCUCUGUCCUGCCCUCAUCUGCUCCAAUCCAUGGCUGGAUGUGCAGGACAAGGCGAGCCCACAGGCUCUGCGGGAGGUUAACACAUGAAUCGUCCCAGCUGUGACAGCAGAGCCUUAACUAAGCCCAUCAAUAACGGAUGGCACUGCAGCGGUGGAGCGGGCGGCAGCCCUGGGGCCUCUCUAUCAGCAGGCAAGGAGGAGAUGGCAGCAGCAGAUAAUGGAUGGUGAGAUGGCACUUGGGGCUGGGGAGCCCAGCAGCAGCACUCCUCCUGCAGCACGUUUCCAGUGCUUGCACCCAGCACUGCACCAGCCCCAUCCCCAGGCCACCUCCAACAGCAUCCCAAAGCCGGGCAGUGUUUGGGGCCAGAUCCUUCCCCAGCCCUUCCCAGCAGCGCGAGCAGCAGCCGCCUCCUGCAGCCACAAUAGUCCCUGAUGAUAAUUACAGGCUGUGCAGCAGCUCUGUUGCUCCAUGGGAGUGGGGUUUUUUUGGUAGCAAUAGGUGCUGUUUAAGUACUUGAAAGAAUGGCACUUAGCAGAUGUCUUGGGGUAAAUGGUAGGUUAAGCGAUACCAAGAACACCAGCGAAAUGAGCGCUAAUUUACGCUCACAUGAUUCAAUUUGCAUGGUUAAUUCUAUUUAAGGCAAACAUCCAGCACGCGCCAGAGUUCCGAAAGCGCCACGACUCUCGUUUCAUCCCCUCUGCAACACUUUGGAGAGCAAAACCAGGGGGAUGACGGAGCGAACAAACGUCUCCGUGCCGUGGGAGCCAAGUUUUGCAAACGCACUUCCUCCGGAUGGCGCCGGGUCUACCUGAUAGCAUCGCUGUGUGCACAAAAACCGCCCGCUGCUGAGAUUAAAGGGAUGUCCUUCAGCUGUGGCAAUCACACCGUGGCUCUGUGCACGCUGGGGCUGUGCGGGGGAAGCUGGCAGACAGCUCUGACCGAGCAGAACACAUUUUGCUUUGGAACGUGCAGACGCUAGAAAAUGGAAGAUGGAGAUAUAUAUUUUUUAUUAUUUUGCUUUCGAGCCAUCAGCGUGGCUUAUUGGUUGAUUAAUAACCGUUUGUUAGCGUUCUUUAAGUUCUGUAGGAAACAGAAGGCCUGUAAAUGGCCUGGAUGAGCAAAAAGCACAAAAUACCUCAGACAUAAUACGCCAAAUGUAAAUAAUAUUUAUGGCUCAUUAAAGCAUUGAUGCUCUGCGUGCAUUGGAGUACACGCAGCGGGGAGCCAGAGGAGCGAGAGGUUGGCUCAUUAUUUCUUUUCAACCUGAGAAAUGCGGAAAUAAAAUGCUGAAAAACAUCUCCAAGCCAUGUCCUAAAGAAGAGCAUUCAUACUGGGAUCCACUGGGGCUUCCCCUUCCUUUUGCAGGGAAUGGAUAAAGCGCUGUGUCACCCGUGGGCUGAGCCCCGCCGUGACCCGGGAACUGCAGGUGCUCAGCAGCAAUGAUCAGAGGAAAUAUUUCACAAACAACGAACGGGGCUGAGAUUGCUCCAACAGAGAACAAAUUUGUAAGACUGCAAGCUGGUGUCUGGACUAUUUGUGAGCAGUAAAAGGAACUAAAUUUGACAAAUGAAGUGCCUGCUGCAAAGCAGCUCACACGGCUUGAGUAACUACCCAGUAAUGCCAAGACUCGUGCAAAUUGCUAGGUAACUACGGUGAAGAGAGCCAAAAAUAAUCCUUCCUGUGACUUGCUCUGACAGCGUUUGGAAGAGUGAAAUAACAGGGUUUCAGCACGGAGCAGUGCGGCGCCGGCUCUCUGGAGCGAUGCACAACUGGUGACGUGGCAUGGGGAUGGGCUCCAACGCUUCCCAGGUGGAGCAACCCCAACAACCCACGGGAAGUGCAUCAGAACACAGGGUGAAAAUGCUCAGCUGUCUUCCAGGUGCUUCUCCAGAAAUGCUGCAUCGUUAACAUGGAAGUUUAAGAAAUACCCUGAUCCAGUCGGAAAGGCCCCACAAAUUGCCAAGUUGGAGUUUUCUGGGAUGAAAAAUGAAGCUAUUUUGUACCCUGUCAGCAGAAUGUAAAUGAAUGAGUGGAACGAAUUAGUGCACGAUAAACUUUUAAAAAGCCAAGUUCCCAUUUAAAACAGUAGUGAGAGCUCUGGAAUGAUUUAAGUCUUAAAAAAAAAAAAAAAAAAAAGUAGCACCACUCUAACGCCAUUCAAUUAUGGCCUGCACAGCAAACCAUAAAUAUCCUUUACCGCCCUCUGGGAUAUGACAUCUUUGCUCCGCCGCACUCAGAGCCGUGUGCCCAAUGGCAGCUCCUCCUGUCACCGUCCCACAGAGCUCCCAUCCCCAUCCCCAGGGGUGUGCCCAUACUGCACCCCAGUGCCCGAGAGCACCUCGUGCCCACACGUCUUUAAUGCCACUGAGAUCCUCUCUCUGCAUAACCGCUCUUGCUAGAACCAAGCAGCCCUUCUUCACGCCCCUUUCUCCUCCGCAAACGGCUGAUUUAUUCUGUUUAUAAACUCCAGAGAUUGUUUAAUC